rnacentral:rRNA from 1 species
GACGAACGCUGGCGGCGUGCCUAAUACAUGCAAGUAGAACGCUGAAGAGAGGAGCUUGCUCUUCUUGGAUGAGUUGCGAACGGGUGAGUAACGCGUAGGUAACCUGCCUUGUAGCGGGGGAUAACUAUUGGAAACGAUAGCUAAUACCGCAUAACAAUGGAUGACCCAUGUCAUUUAUUUGAAAGGGGCAAAUGCUCCACUACAAGAUGGACCUGCGUUGUAUUAGCUAGUAGGUGAGGUAACGGCUCACCUAGGCGACGAUACAUAGCCGACCUGAGAGGGUGAUCGGCCACACUGGGACUGAGACACGGCCCAGACUCCUACGGGAGGCAGCAGUAGGGAAUCUUCGGCAAUGGGGGCAACCCUGACCGAGCAACGCCGCGUGAGUAAAGAAGGUUUUCGGAUCGUAAAGCUCUGUUGUAAGUCAAGAACGAGUGUGAGAGUGGAAAGUUCACACUGUGACGGUAGCUUACCAGAAAGGGACGGCUAACUACGUG